rnacentral:rRNA from 1 species
UACGGGGGGAGCAAGCGUUGUUCGGAUUUACUGGGCGUAAAGGGCGCGUAGGCGGUCAGCACAAGUCAGUUGUGAAAUCUCCGGGCUUAACUCGGAAAGGUCAACUGAUACUGUGCGACUAGAGUGCGGAAGGGGCAACUGGAAUUCUCGGUGUAGCGGUGAAAUGCGUAGAUAUCGAGAGGAACACCGGUGGCGAAGGCGGCAUCCUGGACCAAUUCUGACGCUGAGGAGCGAAAGCCAGGGGAGCAAACGGG